rnacentral:hammerhead_ribozyme from 1 species
ACCUAGCUGACGAGUUUUAAAUAGGACGAAACAUACGUUCUAAAU